CUUGGAGUUACAUUGUGUUGUUUAAAUGUUCCCUUUAUUUUUUUGAGCAGUGUAAUUCUGGCCACAUGUUGACUCAGUGGUGCUUCUCCGUGCAGGUCGUGGGACCAGGGAGAGAGGCACACUCUGUAAACAAGAAUAGGUGCAUCACCUGUUACUGAGCUGGCAAACAUUAAGCGUGUGCCCUUGGGCCACUACUCUACUACCACAUGUCUACAACACAAAAUCCUUGUGUGUGCAUGUGUCUCUUCACAGUCCCCGCUGUUACAUAAGAUCUGCCAACCGGCUCGGCGUGUGACAGGUAACAGUCUUUCCACCAAGCUGUUCCAGGCCUGGAGUGGCAGGCUGGAACUUCCAGAGUCGUGUAGACCUGAAGCAGUGUGAUGUGGUCCAGGUAUUUAUCACACACAGAUCUGACACCCCUAUUAGCUCAACCACAGUCUUCACAGCUGCAGGUGUCUGCCCCGGCAUCUGCUACACCGGCCACGACACGUGAUACAGAUCUGCCCCCCCCCCCCCUCCCCCCUUUGAGGAUUCCCACAUGGAUACAGGUCUGCCAUGCACUUCACCACCACUGCCACUCCCAGAAGUACAUACACUGGGCCUAUCAGGACUGACAAAGCAGAGAUGGGGGGCUGGCAAGGGAAAAUAAAACAUGCACUCACACACAUUAUCCACAAUGCAAAUCAGUUGUAAUAACUUGUUUAUUUUAUGUAUGCUCCAUUUUAUUUGAGAAAAAUAUCUGCAAUAAAGUACCUUCACAGUUAAAGCAAUGUCUUUGGUUUAUUAGAUAUUUCUCUGAAUACAAUGUGUGACCAGAAGGAAGUUGGCAGACCUGCAACCCUUGGACUGUGUGCAGGUUGUCAUCUUGUAACGGAAUUCCUCUUCUUCAGAGGAGGAGUAGCAAGGAUCAGACCAAUGU